GACGAACGCUGGCGGCGUGCUUAACACAUGCAAGUCGAACGGAAAGGCCCUGCUUGCAGGGUACUCGAGUGGCGAACGGGUGAGUAACACGUGGGUGAUCUGCCCUGCACUUCGGGAUAAGCCUGGGAAACUGGUCUUAUUCCGGAUAGGGGGCAAUUUUAGGGUGGAGGGUUGAAAAUUUUUUCGGUGUAGGAUUAGCUCGCGACCUAUCAGCUUGUUGGUGGGGUAAUGGCCUACCAAGGCGGCGACGGGUAGCCGGCCUGAGAGGGUGGACGGCCACAUUGGGACUGAGAUACGGCCCAGACUCCUACGGGAGGCAGCAGUGGGGAAUAUUGCACAAUGGGCGCAAGCCUGAUGCAGCGACGCCGCGUGGGGGAUGACGGCCUUCGGGUUGUAAACUCCUUUCGCUAGGGACGAAGCUUUUUGUGACGGUACCUAGAUAAGAAGCACCGGCUAACUACGUG
rnacentral:rRNA from 1 species